GCUGCUCUAAUGUAUGAUGCUGUGCAUGUGGUGUCUGUGGCCGUCCAACAGUUUCCCCAGAUGACAGUCAGUUCCUUGCAGUGUAAUCGACAUAAACCCUGGCGCUUCGGGACCCGCUUUAUGAGUCUAAUUAAAGAGGCACAUUGGGAAGGCCUCACAGGCAGAAUAACUUUCAACAAAACCAAUGGCUUACGAACAGAUUUUGAUUUGGAUGUGAUCAGUCUCAAGGAAGAAGGUCUAGAAAAGAUUGGAACGUGGGAUCCAGCCAGUGGCCUGAAUAUGACAGAAAGUCAAAAGGGAAAGCCAGCAAACAUCACAGAUUCCUUAUCCAAUCGUUCUUUGAUUGUUACCACCAUUUUGGAAGAACCCUAUGUCCUUUUUAAGAAGUCUGACAAACCUCUCUAUGGCAAUGAUCGAUUUGAAGGCUAUUGCAUUGAUCUCCUCAGAGAGUUAUCUACAAUCCUUGGCUUUACAUAUGAAAUUAGACUUGUGGAAGAUGGGAAAUAUGGAGCCCAGGAUGAUGCCAAUGGACAAUGGAAUGGAAUGGUUCGUGAACUAAUUGAUCAUAAAGCUGACCUUGCAGUUGCUCCACUGGCUAUUACCUAUGUUCGAGAGAAGGUCAUCGACUUUUCCAAGCCCUUUAUGACACUUGGAAUAAGUAUUUUGUACCGCAAGCCCAAUGGUACAAACCCAGGCGUCUUCUCCUUCCUGAAUCCUCUCUCCCCUGAUAUCUGGAUGUAUAUUCUGCUGGCUUACUUGGGUGUCAGUUGUGUGCUCUUUGUCAUAGCCAGGUAACAUGCUCACUUUUGUGAUUUUUUUGGCAAUUGUUACCUCCUUUAUCUAACUAAUAAUUGUCAAAAGUCACAAUCAAUUUUACUUUUUCUGUUCUUUAUUUUCCACGGGGU